UAUCCAAUCUGAACCCUCCCCCCAGCACAACUUGAGGCCAUUACUUCUCAAACUUAGUAUUGCAUACUAUGGGAAAACAGAGACAUGUGUCAGACUGUGCCUGCAAUCCUGGCAAACCAUGUGGACAGGAGCUCCUAUUGCCCCCAGAUUUAAUUUUCAGAAUCUGACUUUAUUCCAUGCUGAAACAAUACUCCAAAUGUUUUUGGAUUUUUUUCCACAGAGGAAAUAUUUGUGGCAGGUGAUACAGAGGAGAAUGAAAGGUAGAUUUCUUUUUUCUGCUUGUGGCUCAGUAUUGAUGUCCUAACUUUGUACUAAAACACCAUUAUUUCACAAGUUGCAGUCUCUCAGAUGUACCCCAGGGGUACAAUCUUCCUAUCAGUUCGUGCAUUGCUGUCUGAUCAGGAUGCUCUGUGGAUCCAAGCAGUGACACACACAAAGCUGUAGUACAGAGUUGGAAUUUCAGCUGGGAAACCAUUAAGGUGAACAUGACAAUUGCCACCCUUAUUUGAGUUUUGAGCAUCGUCUCUCUGAUACACUGCACUGCCAACCCUUGACCACUACCUCUGUCUCUAAUUCUUAUGCACUCCAAAUAUUCCUUAUAUUCCUGUUACAACUCCCAAACCUGGAAAUUACACAUAUGUGCAUCUCUUCCACUUCUACAAUUUGCCCAUUCUGUGACUUAUUCUGUGUUCAGGAAUAACCUUGGGUAUCUUUGCAGACAGAUGUGCAGCAGGUCACUCUCACCAUUUUUCUAUAGUCUGACUCAGGCUAAGCCUUCACUUUGUAGCCUUCUGAAAGUAAUAUCAGAAGGACUAAUAGUAGAAAUGAUAAUUAAUCUGUUAGAGGAUCAAGAGUAGUUACCUGUAUAUUUGAAUACCUGCUAUUACUGUCAUCAUUGUGAUAUCAAUAAUAGUAUGAUAGUAAUUGUUGUUAUUCUUCUGGCAAUUAGAAGAGUAAUUUUGUUACUACUAUUAUUUUAUGUUGGUGUCAUUGACCUGCAACCCUGAAGCACCUCUGAGGUGAUCCUAGAGGUCUUUUCCAACCUUAAUGACUCUAUGAUUCUCUAUGAGGUGGGGACACGAGAUGGUGUUGUCAGCACACAGGCAUGAGCAAACAGGAGCCGGCCUGCCAGCUGAGGAGUCAGGUGAUCCAGAGGCGUUCCCCAUCUCCACCACAACCUCCCUACGUGACCUCAAAGGAAGCAUCUGGAAAGCCACUGGGGAAAGGAGGCAGCUGCAGGUUUGUGACUCUUAAUUGUGUGUGUCUCCAUGGGCGUAGGUGACUGAUUUCACGUUACAGCCACCAGGGACCAAACCAGCACUGCCCAGUGGAGGCUAAGAAGCAAUUUAACUGGCCCAAUUUUCAUCUAACCCAUGUGCCUAAACGCCACAGACACAUGCAUCUUCUAUAGAAUCAUAGAAUCACAGAUACAUUAAAGUUGGAAAAGACCACUAAAAUCAUCUAAUCCAACCAUCAGCCCUUCCCCACCAUGCCCACUAAACCAUGUCCCUCAGUGCCACAUCUACCCUUUUCCUGAAAACCUUCAGGGAUGGUGACUACACCUUUCACCACCAUCUUUCUGCAGUGCCAUAGGGUUUGAAUGUUGGGUGGUCGUCUGUGGAGGCAAGAGCUGGGCUCAGUGAUCUUUGUAGGUCUCAACUCAGGUUUUUCUAUGAUUCUCUAAGAGCCAUGAGAGCUAUGUAAGAAGGACAAAACACAAAGCUCCUCCCUGUUAAUACUGGUGAAUACUUGCUAGAUGGAGUUUGUGAUUUCUUCCUCCUGGCCAAGGGCCAUGAGGAGGGCUCUGCAUUGCCCUGUUUAAUCAUUUACACCAGAGAAAAGUUGAGGUGGAACAAAUACCAUUUUCCCAAGAUCUCAGUGCCAUGGAAGGUGAAACAUUGCCAGGAACCCCAGCCUUCCUAUCCAACCUCUGCAGCCCCAAUUGGACCCAGGGACUCCCACCAGGACAAAGCCUUCCUAGAGGACUGGGUGAUGUGGAAGAGUCCACAGCCACCACAAAUUUCCCAAAUAACACCAUCACUGUGCCUACGUGACUCACACCCAGUUCCUCACUCUCCUCACCCCAGGAGAAAUUAACUCUUUCCCACCCACAGCAUCACACCCAAGGAGCCCAGGUGUUACCUAGUGACCUGCUAACAAACAUAACCACAAACAAACAUGCAUCACAAUGCUGGCGGGCUCUCUGAGACCCAAAGGGUGUCUGUGGGCAGCCCAGUCUAUCCUUUGGGUCAGGAGUAACUCUGCAUUCCCCAUCCCCAUUGCCAUGAUCUGGGGGCACACAUAUUUCUGCUGGAUUCACUCUGGACAAACUGGAAAGCAUCCUUGUCCUCAAACAGCAUGGAUCAGUGUCAGGGGAGGGUCAGAUUGACACUGUCACAGUGCAGUUUUAAUGAGACCCAUGGGUACAAUCCACCACAAAUGCAGAAAAGAAGCAGCCAAGCAUCUUCAGGAAUGUGCUGAAUUAUCACUCAAGGAACAAAAGAAAAAAUCUCUCCCUUUUUGCUGCCUGGAGAGCAAAUGUUGCAAUGAAU